rnacentral:rRNA from 1 species
UUGCUGGGUGGAUUAGUGGCGAACGGGUGAGUAACACGUGAGUAACCUGCCCUUAACUCUGGGAUAAGCCUGGGAAACUGGGUCUAAUACCGGAUAGGAGCGUCCACCGCAUGGUGGGUGUUGGAAAGAUUUAUCGGUUUUGGAUGGACUCGCGGCCUAUCAGCUUGUUGGUGAGGUAAUGGCUCACCAAGGCGACGACGGGUAGCCGGCCUGAGAGGGUGACCGGCCACACUGGGACUGAGACACGGCCCAGACUCCUACGGGAGGCAGCAGUGGGGAAUAUUGCACAAUGGGCGCAAGCCUGAUGCAGCGACGCCGCGUGAGGGAUGACGGCCUUCGGGUUGUAAACCUCUUUCAGUAGGGAAGAAGCGAAAGUGACGGUACCUGCAGAAGAAGCACCGGCUAACUACGUGCCAGCAGCCGCGGUAAUACGUAGGGUGCGAGCGUUAUCCGGAAUUAUUGGGCGUAAAGAGCUCGUAGGCGGUUUGUCGCGUCUGUCGUGAAAGUCCGGGGCUUAACCCCGGAUCUGCGGUGGGUACGGGCAGACUAGAGUGCAGU